GCCCCUUUGCAUGUAAGGGAUGUACUCUUACAUUUUGGUAGAGCAUGGGACUCUCAAUCUUAGGGUUGUGGGUUCGAGCCCCAUGUUGGGCA